UACAGAGGAGGCAAGCGUUAUUCGGAAUUAUUGGGCGUAAAGGGCGCGUAGGCGGCUUUUCAAGUGACGGGUGAAAUCCCUCGGCUUAACCGAGGAACUGCCUGUCAGACUGGAAGGCUUGAGACCGGGAGAGGUGAGUGGAAUUCCCAGUGUAGCGGUGAAAUGCGUAGAUAUUGGGAGGAACACCAGUGGCGAAGGCGGCUCACUGGACCGGUACUGACGCUGAGACACGAAAAGCG
rnacentral:rRNA from 1 species